rnacentral:snRNA from 1 species
GUGCUCAUUUCAGCAGCACAUAUACUAAAAUUGGAACGAUACAGAGAAGAUUAGCAUGGCCCCUGUUCAAGGAUGCAAUGUCCUCUCAAUCAUCAUCGUGUAUCUGA